rnacentral:snRNA from 1 species
UACAGAGAAGAUUAGCAUGGCCCCUGCACAAGGAUGACACUAAAUCUCUGAGAAGGAAGCUCUACGGAGCACAUUUUU